GCAUUGUUGCUUCGAUGGUAGAAAUCUCGCUUGCCAUGCGAGAGAUUUAGGUCCAAUUCCUAGCCAGUGCA
rnacentral:tRNA from 1 species